AGUUGGGCAUGGUGGUACGUGCCUGUAGUCCUACCUACUCUGGAGGCUGAGGCAGCAGGAUUGCUUGAGCCCAGGAGUUCAAGGCUGCAGUGAGCCAUCAUUAGCCACUGCACUCCAGCCUAGGUGGCAGAGCGGGACCCAGUCUCUUAAAAAGAAAGAAAAGCAGAACAUCUUCCUCAGAAGAAUAGGCUUGUUGUUUUACAGUGUUAGUGAUCCAUUCCCUUUGACGAUCCCUAGGUGGAGAUGGGGCAUGAGGAUCCUCCAGGGGAAAAGCUCACUACCACUGGGCAACAACCCUAGGUCAGGAGGUUCUGUCAAGAUACUUUCCUGGUCCCAGAUAGGAAGAUAAAGUCUCAAAAACAACCACCACACGUCAAGCUCUUCAUUGUUCCUAUCUGCCAAAUCAUUAUACUUCCUACAAGCAGUGCAGAGAGCUGAGUCUUCAGCAGGUCCAAGAAAUUUGAACACACUGAAGGAAGUCAGCCUUCCCACCUGAAGAUCAACAUGCCUGGCACUCUAGCACUUGAGGAUAGCUGAAUGAAUGUGUCUUACCCAUUUCCAUGUUUCUCUUGCUAAUUUCUUU
rnacentral:lncRNA from 1 species